rnacentral:rRNA from 1 species
UCUCCGCAGAUACCCAUACGCAAUCUCAAGCUCAGGUUCAUCAUGAGAGGCGACGACCAUCUCAGGAUCGGCAGGUCCGUCGCCCUCGCCAUGGCGACCCAGAAGAUCGACGCCGCCGAGUUCGAGAUCCUCGCAAAGAGGCAGCACAAUGAUUACAGCCAUGACGACCUCCUCUCCUUCGCCAAGCUGUUCAAUGAUUUUAUCAGCGAGUGCCCGGCCGCAUUCGCCGGUCUCACGCGGCUGCAUCUGCACAACCUCAGGUUUGGCGAGUCCGACGUACCCACCAUUCUUCGCACUUGCACGCGGUUGGAGUCGUUGUGCUUCUUCCAGUGUGACGCAGGGGAGAGAUCAAUGUUGACUCUACACCAUGCUCGACUUGCCGAGCUUGACAUUACCUCUGGGAAAUUCUUGGUGAUAAGGCUUGGACGCCUACCCAACCUUCAACGUAUGAGUUAUAAAAAUUGGCACUAUGAUGAUCAUUGCCCCAUAGCUCUGGGUUUUGUCCCUAAGCUCUCGAACCUAGAUCUCUCUCGUGGAUAUGCUGUAGACAGGGCCCUCGACCUAAGCAAGACGCUUGUUAAGGCUCCCCCGAUAAGCGAUCUCCACCUCGAUUUUCAAAGUGAAAAGAUUUGGAUUCGACCAGAAUGCCCAAAAGUGCUCGCUCCUCUGCUGAGCCAACUACGGCUUGUGAAUUUGGACAAUCUCCCUGAGGAAUGUGACAUCGCUUGGACGAUGUUCUUUCUCGAAGCUGCACCAUCCAUUGAGGAGCUUUCCAUCACAGUAUGGGGUCAUAAGUGCCAAAGGAAGUCGCAAAUAAGUUACUCUAAUAGCAUGGCUGUGAAGUGGAAGCCAUCUACUCCUGAUUUUAAGCACAUGAAUCUGGCCAGGCUAAAUAUCUACGGAUUCCAGUCCAACGACAACUUCAUGGGAUACGUUAGGCGCGUCGUUCAAGCUGCGGUGAACAUCAAGGAGGUAUCUUUGCACGACAGGAAGGUGUGCAAG